rnacentral:rRNA from 1 species
GAUGAACGCUGGCGGCGUGCUUAACACAUGCAAGUCGAACGAUGAAGCCCAGCUUGCUGGGGGGAUUAGUGGCGAACGGGUGAGUAACACGUGAGUAACUUGCCCUUAACUCUGGGUUAAGCCUGGAAAACUGGGCCUAUUACGGGAAAGGAGCGUGCACCGCAGGGGGGGAGCUUGAGAGAUUUAGCGGUUUUGUAUGGACUCGCGGCCUAACAGCUUGGUGGGGGAGAAAUGGCACACCAAGGCGACGGCGGGUAGGCGGCAUGAGGGGGUGGACGCGCACCAUGGGCCUGAGGGACGGCCCAGACGCCAACGGGAGGCAGCAGGCGGGAAUAUUGCACAAUGGGGGCAAGCCUGAUGAAGAGGUGCCGCGUGAGGGAAGACGGCCUUCGGGUUGUAAACCGCUUUCAGUAGGGAAGAAGCGAAAGUGACGGUACCUGCAGAAGAAGCACCGGCUAACUACGUG